GUGUGUGUGUGUUUUCUUUUCCCUGAGAUUGUCAAACGUUUGUAGCUAAUUAUCAGUUGGAGUCAGUGUAACAAAACCUGCCUUUCUAGGCUGGAUUUGAUUAAAAUGCCUCUGCUAUCAGCCCGGGGCUGCGGUAAGUGUGAGUGUGUGCAGUGGGGUUUUCCUUCCCCUCCGAGGAAAGCCCCGCCAAGCUUUCUAAGCCCAGGCUAUUAACUGGAACGGCAAAGCCUUACCGAAAGCACUAUCGCUUCCGCUUUAAGAAACAAUGAACUAUUUCCUGGCAUUUCCAUUCGGAAGGCUUCGGGGGCUGUGAAGGGAAAACAUGGACUAUAGGAUAAAUUUGCUCAGGAAAGAACACCUUCCCUGCAGGCUUCAGUGAAGGCUCGGAGAAAAUUCAGAGACCUCAGAUUCACUCAGCCUCUGAGGAUUCGGCUCCAGAGCACAAUUUCAAAGCAGGUACGGCCCCUGCACUCUGUCAGCCUGCAGUCCGGCUUCUCCCACCGCCUCUCCCCUGAAACUGCCAAGAAUCCCCAGGUACCUUCCCCUGGCCACGCCCUAGAAAACCCUUUUCAGUAAUGACGGCGGUUGACCUUUCUGCUGUAAGUAUUUUCACCCUGGUGUUUCUUUCCACCAAGGAUGUGAUGGUGAUGUCUCCUUCUGUUUCCACAAUCAGCUCUUUCUGUUUACUGGCCCUUUAAAUGCAGGCUCACCACGGGAUUCCAACCGUACUGUUCUCUGAGAGGAGUUUUCGUAUUUGUAAGAGGACAGUGACACAGAUGAGACGGUACAACCUCUCCCUUGAAGGCUACAAUGCGCACUCGGAGAAACCCAGACAUCACAAAAACUCACCUCACUCUCUACAAAUCUGACUCGAGAUUUCUCUUCCUUGUAGGCUAAAAGCCCGCUAAUGCGUGUUUGUGGCUUCUGAUCCUUGGCACAGACAACUGCUUCUGGGAGCUCCUAAAGAAGUUAAACAGAAAGUUACCAUUUGACUUCACAUCUUUUACUCCUAGCUAUAUAUCCAAGAGAAAUUUUAAAAAUACAUUAUCAGAAAAGUUUGUAUAUAAUGUUUGGCUAUGAGACACCAUAGCAAAAGGGCAGAAACAGCACAAAUGCCCAUCAGGUGACAAAUGGGCAAACAAGAUGUUAUAUAUGCACACAAAGGGAUGUUAUUAUUCAGCCAUAGAAGGAGGUGAAGAGAUUCAUGUGACAGCAUGAAUGAAGUCAGCCACAAAAGACUCCACAGUGUGUGUGAUUCCAUUCACGUGAACUGUACAGAAUGGGACCAUCUACAGAGAUAGAAGAUUCAUAGCGGUCUAGGAACGGGGCAGAUGGGGGACUGGGGACGACGGCUAUUUUAGCCCAGCUGCGCUGCUCUAACACAAUGGGUGACAGUAAAAGCACCAACAUUUGCAUCUUGCAAUUCUGGAGGCUGGGAAGACCUCUCGCACUUGUUCCUGGUAAAAGCUUUCUCUGCUUCCAAGAUGGCAGCCUGUGGUGGCGCCCUCACAUGGUGGCAGGUGGAAGGGCAAGGGGGGAAGCUCUGAAGCUGCUUGUAUAGGGCAACGGUUGGUUCAUGAAGGUGGAGCUCUCCCGACCAAAUUACUUCCUCAGAGCUCCACCUGUUCAGACCGUCACACUGGGCAUUGAGCUUACCAUGCACGUGGGAGAGGAUGCUGCACUCAAACCACAGCAACAGCUAAAGCUUACGAAUUUUCAUUCGUGAGCAAUGAAAAAAUUCUAAAAUUGACUGUGGUGACGAUGAUUCCUCAACUCUGUGAAUGUGCUAAUAACCACUGAAUUGUAUACUUUAAAUAGGUGAGUGGUAACUCAGUAAAGCCAAGACCAAGAAGAGAAAAGGAAGAGGAGGAGGAGGAGGGGGUACACUUACUUCAUCAAAGGUUUGGGGAAGAGCUACAGGGAAAAGCAUGAGUAGUAACUAGCUGGUAGGUAUCCGGUAACUGCUAGAGAGUGGGUGUGGUCAUUAUGCUUUCUUUAGUUACAUUUUAUGGUCAAAGUCUCUUUCAGUGCAACAAACAGAAACUUCCAUAAACAGGAAAGCAGAGUGGAAUUUCAAAAACUGACAGAAUUCAAGGGCUGUAAAGCACAAGAAAAUGUACUUUCCUACACUCAUCUAUGAUACCACUUCAUGAUAAAAAUACUUUAAUACCGUCAUCAUGGGCUGAAUUGAGUUUAGCUCUUAUUAAGUAUUUGCAGUGCUGACAACUAACCCAUUCAAGCAGGAAAUUGGACAACAGAAGCUUUCCCCUUUUGUACUUCUUUGUUGGGGAGGGGAGGAGAGGGGAGGGGAGAGCUGCAGGCAGCAGCUUAACCAGCUACACACAGCGCCACCCCAGCUUCCUUCUAACGCGCACCCUGGGAGGCAGCAGAUGAUGGUUCAAGUACUUGGGUCCCUACUACCCACGUGGGAGACCUGGAUUGAGUUCCUGGCUCCUGGCUCUUAGCUUGGAAACGUUUGGACAUUUGGGGAAUGAAACAGUGGACGGGAAUCUCUCUGUCUCUGUCUCAUUGAAUCUCUUUGCCUCUCAAGUCAAUAAAACAAGUAAAUGUUUUUAAAGAGUGAUUUUGUGAACUUGAUGUCAGUAAUAGCAGCUUAGAUGUGAAAAAAGAGAACUCAGAGAUCUUUUUGGAGUGGUUGUUAAAAGACCCCAACCAUUACAGCCACUGAGAGUGAAAAUAUAGGAAAGAGGGCCGGCACCGCGGCUCACUUGGCAAAUCCUCCACCUGCGGUGCCAUUGGGGCGCCGGAUUCUGUCCUGCUUGCCCCUCUUCCAGGCCAGCUCUCUGCUGUGGCCCGAGAAGGCAAUGGAGGAUGGCCCAAGUGCUUGGGCCCUGUACCUGCAUGGGAGACCAGGAGGAAGUACCUGGCUCCUGGCUUUGGAUCAGCGCAGCGCCAGCCAUAGAGGCCACUUGGGGGGUGAACCAAAGGAAAAGGAAGGCCUUUCUGUCUCUCUCUCUCUCUCACUGUCUAACUCUGCCUGUCAAAAAAAAAAAAAAAAAAAAAAAAAAAGAAAGAAAA